GUGUUACUGCGAAGGGGGGACGGAGAAGGCUAUGUUGGCCGGGCGACGGUUGUCCCGGUUUAAGCGUGUAGGCUGGUUUUCCAGGCAAAUCCGGAAAAUCAAGGCUGAGGCGUGAUGACGAGGCACUACGGUGCUGAAGCAACAAAUGCCCUGCUUCCAGGAAAAGCCUCUAAGCAUCAGGUAACAUCAAAUCGUACCCCAAACCGACACAGGUGGUCAGGUAGAGAAUACCAAGGCGCUUGAGAGAACUCGGGUGAAGGAACUAGGCAAAAUGGUGCCGUAACUUCGGGAGAAGGCACGCUGAUAUGUAGGUGAAGUCCCUCGCGGAUGGAGCUGAAAUCAGUCGAAGAUACCAGCUGGCUGCAACUGUUUAUUAAAAACACAGCACUGUGCAAACACGAAAGUGGACGUAUACGGUGUGACGCCUGCCCGGUGCCGGAAGGUUAAUUGAUGGGGUCAGCGCAAGCGAAGCUCUUGAUCGAAGCCCCGGUAAACGGCGGCCGUAACUAUAACGGUCCUAAGGUAGCGAAAUUCCUUGUCGGGUAAGUUCCGACCUGCACGAAUGGCGUAAUGAUGGCCAGGCUGUCUCCACCCGAGACUCAGUGAAAUUGAACUCGCUGUGAAGAUGCAGUGUACCCGCGGCAAGACGGAAAGACCCCGUGAACCUUUACUAUAGCUUGACACUGAACAUUGAGCCUUGAUGUGUAGGAUAGGUGGGAGGCUUUGAAGUGUGGACGCCAGUCUGCAUGGAGCCGACCUUGAAAUACCACCCUUUAAUGUUUGAUGUUCUAACGUGGACCCGUGAUCCGGGUUGCGGACAGUGUCUGGUGGGUAGUUUGACUGGGGCGGUCUCCUCCUAAAGAGUAACGGAGGAGCACGAAGGUUGGCUAAUCCUGGUCGGACAUCAGGAGGUUAGUGCAAUGGCAUAAGCCAGCUUGACUGCGAGCGUGACGGCGCGAGCAGGUGCGAAAGCAGGUCAUAGUGAUCCGGUGGUUCUGAAUGGAAGGGCCAUCGCUCAACGGAUAAAAGGUACUCCGGGGAUAACAGGCUGAUACCGCCCAAGAGUUCAUAUCGACGGCGGUGUUUGGCACCUCGAUGUCGGCUCAUCACAUCCUGGGGCUGAAGUAGGUCCCAAGGGUAUGGCUGUUCGCCAUUUAAAGUGGUACGCGAGCUGGGUUUAGAACGUCGUGAGACAGUUCGGUCCCUAUCUGCCGUGGGCGCUGGAGAACUGAGGGGGGCUGCUCCUAGUACGAGAGGACCGGAGUGGACGCAUCACUGGUGUUCGGGUUGUCAUGCCAAUGGCACUGCCCGGUAGCUAAAUGCGGAAGAGAUAAGUGCUGAAAGCAUCUAAGCACGAAACUUGCCCCGAGAUGAGUUCUCCCUGACCCUUUAAGGGUCCUGAAGGAACGUUGAAGACGACGACGUUGAUAGGCCGGGUGUGUAAGCGCAGCGAUGCGUUGAGCUAACCGGUACUAAUGAACCGUGAGGCUUAACCUUACAACGCCGAAGGUGUUU
rnacentral:rRNA from 1 species